rnacentral:rRNA from 1 species
GACGAACGCUGGCGGCGUGCUUAACACAUGCAAGUCGAACGGUGAAGGGGAGCUUGCUCCCCGGAUCAGUGGCGAACGGGUGAGUAACACGUGGGCAACCUGCCCCAGACUUCGGGAUAACGCUUCGAAAGAGGUGCUAAUACCGGAUACGAACUCCUUGGGCAUCCUGGGAGUUGGAAAGUUUUUCGGUCUGGGAUGGGCCCGCGGCCUAUCAGCUUGUUGGUGAGGUAACGGCUCACCAAGGCGACGACGGGUAGCCGGCCUGAGAGGGCGGCCGGCCACACUGGGACUGAGACACGGCCCAGACUCCUACGGGAGGCAGCAGUGGGGAAUAUUGCGCAAUGGGCGAAAGCCUGACGCAGCAACGCCGCGUGAGGGAUGGCGGCCUUCGGGUUGUAAACCUCUUUCAGCAGGGAAGAAGCGAAAGUGACGGUACCUGCAGAAGAAGCACCGGCUAACUACGUGCCAGCCGCCGCCGUAA